GGGGGCUGUGGGGGUGGUCCAGUAGGUGGAAUCCGGCGGCCGGUGCUCUCCCUUGGGCACUGGGAAGUAUGGCGGUGCGAGGAUAGUCAGUGAUUUGAUGGCAUCUGGAUACUUGACUGCUAGGGCAAGGGCGAGGAUCGAUCCCAAAGAAUGAGCCACAAUGUGGAAUGACUUCACCUUGUAGGGCUCCAACACAGACCGCUCGAUCAUCUCG
rnacentral:misc_RNA from 1 species